AAAAAGUUUAAAGUUUCAUAUCUGCCCCCGUUAAACAUUUUAAACCAAGUGCUCAACAAUGACAAUUCAGAUAACUAUCGAAAUAGUAUUAUACUGUGUUUAUAGUUUUGAAAGAGUCAACUCAGACCGCUAUUAACUGGUUAUGCACAAGGCAUUUUAGAUUUGCAAGCGUAGGGGAUGAAUCUUGACAGGCUGUUAAUUUUAUAGAAGCUAAUGUUGACCUUAUUUUAAAUAUAAUAGAGUGUUAUUGUCUGGAGGUGUUUGAUAUUCAGUCAGUAGAACAUGCAAAAUAUUGAAAUGAUUUGCUGCUGUGACUGUGUUUAUGAUUAUCCA